UACGUAGGGUGCAAGCGUUGUCCGGAAUUAUUGGGCGUAAAGAGCUCGUAGGCGGUUUGUUGCGUCGGCUGUGAAAUCCCGAGGCUCAACCUCGGGUCUGCAGUCGAUACGGGCAGGCUAGAGUUCGGCAGGGGAGACUGGAAUUCCUGGUGUAGCGGUGAAAUGCGCAGAUAUCAGGAGGAACACCGGUGGCGAAGGCGGGUCUCUGGGCCGAUACUGACGCUGAGGAGCGAAAGCGUGGGGAGCGAACAGG
rnacentral:rRNA from 1 species